AGCUCCAAUAGCGUAUAUUAAAGUUGCUGCAGUUAAAGCUCGUAGUUGCAUUUCCGAGGCAAGGGAUUAGUCCGACCUUUGGUGGGUAUUUAAUCCUCUUGCCUCGUCCUUGAGUGGUGCUUCUUGGUAUUAAGUUAUCGAGGAGAUAGCCGCUCAUCGUUUACUGUGAGAAAAUUAGAGUGUUCAAAGCAGGCUUAUGCCGUUGAAUAUAUUAGCAUGGAAUAAUAAGAUAGGACCUCGGUACUAUUUUGUUGGUUUGAGAACCAAGGUAAUGAUGAAUAGGGACAGUUGGGGGUAUUCGUAUUCAGUUGUCAGAGGUGAAAUUCUUAGAUUUACGGAAGACGAACUACUGCGAAAGCAUUUACCAAGGAUGUUUUCA
rnacentral:rRNA from 1 species